CGCCCGCGCGCACGCAGACCUGGGGCGCGGACGCGGGCCCCUGGCCGCCCUCGGUCCUCACCGCGGCCGCUGGCACCAGCGCGUGGGCGUCGGGGAGGGGGCUGAGCGCUGCCGCAGCGCGGGCGAGUGCGGAGGGGGCUGUGCUCCGCCACUGUCCCUGCGAGGCGCAGCCCAGCCCCAUCGACCCCCUCCCCCGCGGACGACACCCGGGGCCCCGCAGCCACCCACGCUGGCCUGGGGACGAGCCCGCCUGGCCGCGCCCUCGUGCACAGGUGAGCCGUCACCGCGGCGCUCCCGACAGCAGUGGUGUCACUAACGGGAUCUUUCAAAUAGUGUCACGGUUCAUGCUGAACAGUUUGACCACGCAGGAGCAAAGUCCAGUGACAGACAAACUGGGGACGACGGCGGGUGACAAGGAGCCAGUGACUUGUGCUUUCUGAGAAGAAUGUCAGCUGCAAUUUUCCAGACGCUCUGGGGCCUUGUGUGGGUUCUUACACUAUGCCUGGAGGAUGAGAAGCCUCCACGGUGAUAACUAAUGACAAAACCGGAGGAAGGAUGGCGGAGACGCUUGUUCUCUCUCACCUGGAGCCUGAGAAGUGUGAGGGAAAGUUCUGAUGGAGGCGAUCAGAGCUACCCACCCUGUAUCUUCCCUUUCUCUCCUCCCAGACCCUGCCCUUUCAGCAAUAGCUCUCUAGACACCCAGGCGUGUCAACCUCCAGGGUUUUCAUUACCAGCUCUGAACAAGACUGGUCUUGGAUUUCACUUGAUGGACUGAGGAGGGUGUCUUAGCCACGCCCCUGAUCUGUUUUACUCACUGUGGGGCGAGUUCGUAUACUUCCUGCUCUCUUCCUAUCCAGCUCCCGUACUUCAGAUCCUGCCUCCGUUCUUCCCUGACCUUGGGAAGAGCAGCUGUCCCCUCUUCCUGCUUCCGCAGAUCAGUCUGUCUGCUUGGAGGGUCACCUUCUGUGUUCCCCCAGGUUGUCUGCUGAGGACAAGUAUAAGGAGGGUUCUUCGCAGCCUGCAUGCAUCAUGCCCCCUCCGUGCACAGGCUUGCGAUUCCACCUCUAAGGUGAAAGUCGAGGUUGGCUGUUUCUCCGUUACUUUGCUGUGUGUGAAAGACAGCCUCGUGCUGCCCCACAGAGCGAGCUGCCCCACAGAGCUGCCCGAGAAAGCUUGAGACCAUAAAUCCCACCAGGCCGUUCUCCUGCACCAGUCUCUUCCAAGGCUUCUUUUUACAGCCCAGAUGACCCCUAACACCUACUGUUCUGGCUGGGCUGCUUUCUUAACACGCUCACCCUCGCUCCAACCCCACCGUCCCCUACCCCCUCUCUGUUCCAGCCAUUGGUCCUAGGUUGCGGUUCUCUCUGUAGUUCAUGGUAUUGGUCCCUCCUCGACCUUCGCAUCCUUCCUCAUCAAGGUGAUGCCGAGCCCCUUCCGGAACUUGCUCCCACUGCUUAGCAUCUCCUGUUUAUCCCUUUCCUGAGGUGAGGAGAUGACGCCUUACCCAGCAGUAUUCUGAGAGUCUGCACACCAUGGACCACAGGCUCCACGUUCCAUGAGCAGCUAUGGGAUGGAUGGGGCCUGGAGCUGGGCAAGUGGCCAGCUGGGUGGGAGAGACGCCAGGGUUGCGCCAUGCGGGCGUCUUGAGCAGUCUAGCCUGGGCAAGCCAGUGGACACCACACACCUCCAGCAAGUUCAGCUCCAUCUCAGCUCUCCCCAAGACUAUCAUGGAUUUCAACCAGGUGGCCAAGCUCAGCUGUACCUCGGGGAAGGCUGGAGGUCCCCAGAGGCGAAGACGACCAUCUGUACGCAAGGCUUCCUAUUCUGAGAUAGGAUCACAAGGGCAGUCCCUCUGCAGGGACAGUCUAUAAGCCCCACUGUUAACGGUUUGAACAAUGUCCCCAUCUGGUGGUUAUGGAACCUUGUGGAGGCAGAGCCUUGCCAGAAAAUGUAGGGCACCAUGGCGAGCCUUUCAAAGUCUAGAAGUGCCCAGUCCUCUCCUUGCUCUCUAAUUCAUGUUCGCUGGUGUCAUCCUUCGCACGCUUCUGCCACCGUGGUGUUCUAUGUCCCAUCCAGAAUCAAAGCAGCCUAGGACUGAAAUCUCUGGAACUGUGAGGAAAAAAACAAAAACAAAAAACAAAACAAAAAAACCCUUCCCUCCUUCGCUUGCUAUGUCAGGUAACUCCUGAGAGUCAGAUGAGCCCUUUAACAUCUGUCAAGCUUUCAGGCUUUGUUUCUGAUGGUAUUCAGAUGGAUGGGAGAUUUCUUCAAUGAAGCAUGUGGGUAGUGUGUGUGUAUUCAUGCAUGUGACCACAUUUGUGUGGCUGUGUAUCUGUCUGGAUUAACAGUGGGACAUCAUGUAUCAGAAAGGUCAGCACGGAAGGGUCAGUAUCAUUUGAUGGGGCUAAAGGUAACGAAUCAGUGGCUCCAUGUGGAAACCUCAGGGGUCCAAACGUCUGAGCCUACAGAUCCAUUUCUGUCGGAUUUCUGUCACAGUUAGCUCUGUGUCAGUUCCCAGAACAGAACUGGACAGAAAGAAGCUCAGAGCAGAGCAAUCUGGACUUCAGUCUGGAGUGUCUCUUCCUGGCCUCGGCCUUAGGCAGAUGAGUUAACUUUCUGCACAACAGACAAGAGCUAUUUUCUAUUUCUGCAGGAUGGCUGAGGGACUGGGAAGGGUGAUGUGUGCUACUUUAUGCCAAUUGUCAGCUUGACAGGACUUAAAAUCAUCCUGGAAACCAGACUCUGAGCAUGUCUGUGAGGGACUUUGUAGAUUACGCUAAUAGUAAGAAGACCCAGUCUAGAUGUGGGUGACACCGUUCUGUGAGCGAGGACCCCAGACUGACUAAAGGGAGAAUGCAGCCUGAGCAGUCACAGCUCUUAGCCUCCUGACUGCAGAUGCACUGCGACCAGCUACCUCACUCUGCGGCCGCCAUGCCUUCCCCACCGUGACGGGCUGUGCCCUUGAACCGUGAUCUAAAUAAUCUCUUAAGUUGUUCAUUGCCAGGCAUUUUGCCAAAGCAAUAAAAAGUAACUGAUCUCAAAUGCACAACACCUGAAAUAACGUUUGGCAUUUAAUAAACAUAUAUUAAAGCCAGGCAUGGUGGCACACCCCUGUAAUCCCAGUACUCAGGGAGGCAGAGGCAGGCAGAUUUCUGUAAAUUCAAAACCAGCCUGGUCUACAAAGUGAGUCCAGGACAGCAAAGGCUACACAGAGAAACAAAAAUAUACUUUAAAUAAACAAGUAAGUAAAAUUAAACCAACAACAAACAAACAUAUAUUAGGUAUAGUCCACAAUAUUACCCAAUAGGUACUGUUAUUACUCAUGUAUUAUAAUUAAACCUAAAUGAGACAGGGAAUGAGCCAAGGUCAUGUCCCCAGGGAGCAUCGGAAUUGGCCCAAGGCGUUCCAUCCUUCCUUGGACUACUGUGUAACUGUCAGCAACCUCAUUUUCCUUUUGAGGAGUCUCAGAUGCUGGAAUAGCAUCACCAGCCGGGGCAAGUGCCACUGUGAACCUGCUGUGUGCAGCACAAAGCCGCUGGGGCUGUGACAAGCUUGAGACAUGGAUUUAGACAAGAUGUGACAUGAGCAUUGCUGCUCAACUUAUCUCCCCUGAGAAGCUCCUUGACAGGUUGUGAAAACAGGUGAGACUGGAGCCAGCUUUCUGGGCAGGCAGCAAGAGCAACUUCUGGGACACAGAUAUGAAGGUUAUUACAAACGCGUUUGGCCUCUGGGGUGGUGGUCCGGAUAUAAAAAUAAAGAAAACCAAUUCAAGAAUAUCGGUUGACAGUUCAGGAAGGAAGGCGGAGCCUGUGGUUUCUGACCCAAACCACUGCUUCCUUGUGCUCAGUGAGGCCCAGCCCACAGCAAAGGCUCUCCAUCAGCACCCAGCUUCAAAGGCCAGAGGUCUGUCCUCUCAGAGCAGGAUGCCAGCAUUGCUCAGGGGGCUCGGCAUCACCCACAGCCCUGCUCUGAGGUUCUCCUGCCGAAGGGAAGAAGCUGGCCGCAUAACAGCACCACGUUUCCUCCCAGAAGGACUGAUCACAUUUGUAACAGAGCACAGAAGAGUUUGAGCCUCAAGGUGCCUUCAAGAACAGAAGAGAUUGUGUGAAGGGGACUGGGAAAUUUGGGGAUGUAAGGAGUUGGCCUACACUGAUCCACUAGAGGGAACUGGAUAGACAGAGUGGUCUGCCUAGAGUCAAACACCAAAUCCUGACCCAGGAAUGCGUUCUUUCAAACAAACCAGAACUUGAUUGGAUUACUUCAAUAAUAUUGAAGUCCUCCAGAAACAAUACUGAAAAAAAAAAAAAUAGAGCAACUAGCUGCCAGGAAAGCACAGUUUAAUAAUCGGUGGAGUACGAGAAAGGCAGAGAGCCACAGCAAAGCCACUGUCAUCUGGCGACUGUGGACAUGUGAGAGCUGUUCCUUCUGAGCCUAUCAGAGGCUUCGUGCUGUGGGAAGGGAAGGAAAGGUCCCUAAAACAACCGCCCAGUUAUUAAGCAAGGAAAUAACAAUAUCAGGUCUACUCAGAGAGCAGUGCUGAGCAUUGAUACAAGACACUGCCCAAAAUACCCACUUUCCAACCAAAAGAAAUGAAGCAUGCGAAAAAACAGGGAAGUAGGACCCUAGCAAGGAGAAAGCACCACACAUGCAUGAGAUCUUGUGGUAUCUGACCUCAUACUGCAUGUAUGAGUGGCCCCAUAUAAUUUUUCAGGAAAAAGCAAAACAAAACAAGAACAACAACAAGAACGAAACGACUAAAGCAGCCGUGUCCACAGAACCAAAGGAGACCAUGGUUAACAGAAGACAAGGUUGUGUCACAAAGAUGCUCAGACAGAAACAGUGGUAACAGAACCAAAUGAAGUUCCGGAGUUUAGCGCAGCAAUAAAUCCACGAGAAGUCUCAACGCUAAGUCUGACCUGCAAGAAAGUUGCACAGGUUGUUGGGAUGAGUAAGCACAGGUUGGCAGGAAUAUUUGGGGAUCUUUCAAGUCAUUUGUUCUA